rnacentral:siRNA from 1 species
UGAUAUAUAUGCUGAAAUGUGUGU